UACGUAGGUGGCAAGCGUUGUCCGGAAUUAUUGGGCGUAAAGCGCGCGCAGGCGGUCGAUCAAGUCGAGUGUGAAAGCCCCCGGCUCAACUGGGGAGGGUCAUUCGAUACUGAUCGACUCGAAGGCAGGAGAGGGUAGUGGAAUUCCCGGUGUAGUGGUGAAAUGCGUAGAUAGUCGGGAGGAACACCAGUGGCGAAGGCGGUUUGCCAGAACGCGCUCGACGGUGAGG
rnacentral:rRNA from 1 species